CUGAGAACAUGGCUGCUAGGAAGUCAAGCUCUCUACUGGCCAAAAUAGAGCAGAACUUAUCUACUCUUUCACAGUUCCAGAUGUCUGCAAUAGACAAUAAAGUCAGUGAACAAACAUUGAGGCAUGUAAAUUAUACACUGACCAACUUAGUUAAUCACAUUCAGAUGUCGGAUGGUAAAAGUCAACUUGUAAACGUAAAUGAGAUGAAAGCUGCGGUUAAGUUCAAUUCGCAAGAGAAACUCAAGACCCAAGUAUCCCAACUUUUAUCAUUUAAGAGGCCAGUUAGUAAAAGGAAAAGGAAACCUGCAGACUGUAAAGAGAAGAAAGAAACUGUCAUAAAAAAUCUUCUUGAUUUUUUGCCCUAGUCCCAUUGUCCCCAAGAAGAUUUUGAGGGUUGAAGCUAAGUUUAAGGGUCAUGGCCUAAUUUUCGUUUGACACAUAUGCUUGGAUACUUGGAUUAUGCUUGGUUCCACUGAAAUUGUAACUACGACGUGGUAGAUAGCUUUUCCUUUUUGGCGGGUUUUAGCCGCAAUGAAGAGGUUCAUCAUAUCAUGCGCUUCAUAAAGAAAAUUAAUCCUUUUAUUUGUAAUUUCACCAUAUUCAGUUCUUGAGUUAUACUUCUUGGUUAAAGGAUGUACAAUUUGACACUGCAAUAGUAUGGUAAUUUACUGGAAGUUAUAUGUAUGUAUAAUUUAUAAUGCACAUGUUGUGUAUUCUAUUAAUUCAUGUUUUUGAAUUAUAAACUAACUGUAGUAUAAAGGA